UCAUUGAGCAUAUUCGUUUUAAUAUUUGUUUAUGAGAUAUAUUGAGAUGAUUAAAUAAAUUAUUCAUUUGUUAACAACAAAUAUUGGGAUGACAUUGGAGUUGAAGAUACAGGGAGAGGCUAACAGACCAUCACCCUCCAAUAUCUGAUGCUGGCUUGAUAAAAAUGUACGACUACCUUUCAAGCUCUGACUCAGCCCAGGUGUUGCAACACAAGGUCUUUGUGGACAUCAUGAUGCACUUUGGCUGAAGGGGCCGUGAAAAUAUAAGAACUCUCCGAAGAAGAGACCUUUCUUUUAGUACUGAUGGAGAGGGAUGUAUCAGCCUAGUGCGGUACUAAAUGAUAACAUACACUGCGAUAAUGUAGUGUUGGGGCAUAACAAGAUGGGUAACAUGAUGAGUUUCAUCAGUGAGGCAGCCUCCUUAUUGAUGCCUUAUACCAAUCAUUUUCUCUGUGCAACCACUGUCCACAUUCUAGACGAAGCAACUUUGACGACUUGUAAUGAUGAAGCAACCUUGAAUGAUGGUUAAGACAAUCUUUAUGCAAACACUCUCAUGCCAAAUUUACCUGUUGUACCAACCAUGUACAAUUGUUCAUAUGUAACAAUCACCUACAAUAUGAGUUUUAAGAGUAAUCAGUAGACCAAGUAUAUUGGUGAAAUCAGUCAAAGAAAUAAUUCAGAAAUAUUUAUUUUAGUGUUGUUACUGUUAUUAAAUUUAUUACUGUUAUUGUUACACAUUGUUAUAAGUUGUUUUAUGUUGUAAAUAUUGACACUUUUCAUUGCCUAGAUAAGAUACUC